rnacentral:rRNA from 1 species
UACAGAGGGGGCAAGCGUUGCCCGGAUUUAUUGGGCGUAAAGAGCGUGUAGGCGGCCGCACAGGUCCGUUGUGAAAACUGGAGGCUUAACCUCCAGACGUCGAUGGAAACCGUGCGGCUAGAGUCCGGAAGAGGAGAAUGGAAUUCCUGGUGUAGCGGUGAAAUGCGCAGAUAUCAGGAAGAACACCCGUGGCUAAGGCGGCUCUCUAGUACGGUACUGACGCUGAGACGCGAAAGCGUGGGGAGCGAACAGG